GUCAAGCCAAGACAGUAGUGCAAUGCCAGAGGACGCUUGAAGGUCCUGAAUCCCAAUAGCAAGCUACCGUAUGGACAUCCCCUAAAAAAUAGAGUCAGUAUAAUGUAAUAUACUGAUAUGAACAGAUACUACACUUGAUCUUACAUUAGAGGUGGUACUUUGCGAUUAUGUAGAUAAAAUGGUAUUUUUAAGACAUCAAACACCAGUGGUCUAGUGGUAGAACAAUACCCUGCCACUGUACAGUCCUGGGUUCGACUAUCUGAGUGCUGUGAAGAUAAAUUGUGCAGUCAGUGAGAACUUUGGGUGCUCACCUUGUGUCUGAUAUUAGACGACAAAACCAUAUAUAGGUUCACCAUUUAUCUUUAGGUGUAGCACAGUUACAAAUUAGAAGGGACAAAUUGUGUACUGUUAUGAAAAAAAAGGUUUUUAGAACUAGAAUUGGUGGGGUGAGCCAGGCCAAGGCAGUAGUGCAACACCAGGGCGACUAUUGAAGGUCCCGAUAGCAAGCUACCGUGGUGAACCUCCCCCUUAAAAAAUAGAGUUAAUAUCGUGUGAGUCAAUGACUCACAUAUCAGAUAUUAAACUGAUAAGAACAGAUACUACACUUGAUCUUAGCCAAAAGGCCGAGAAAGGUAUGCUUUUCCAUGUGUUAUGCCGGGAUAUUUUAUAUGUCACUUGUUAAAUUAAAUAUCUCUUUCUAGGCAGUGUGGGAUAAAAAUGUGUUUCUGGAAAAUUAGAAGGACUCUAAGAAGUUCAUCUAUCAAAAUUAAGGCCAUGGAAACAAAGUUUUUGAGUUAUUUUUUGAUUCGUCGAUGGAUUUUCUUUAUUUAUUGAUAAAAAUCACCAGUGAUUAAGUUCAAUAUCUUCCAAGAGGAAAAGUAUCAAGUGAUUUCUUUUCAUUUUCUUAUGUUUUUGGUGAACUCGAUUAUCCAUAUCUACGUGGUUGGUAGAGUUUCAUGAUGGUGGAAUGGACUGAAAACCACCAAUAUCUCUAGUUUGUUUCAUUGUACAAAUGAUUUAGUUUGGAAUUUUUUUUGGUAAAGAUGGAAUAAAAUUGAUGUUGAUAAUUUAUAUGCAAAAUCCAACUAAUUCAGGAUUGAGGCAUCAUUGCAAUGGUUGAAUUGCUAUUUUUGUAUUAUAGUUGUACUGCAUUUCUUUGAAAGGUAAAAAACAAUAUGAUGUCCCAGACUGAUCUUAUCUGCAUCAAUUUCAGGAUCUAAAUAGGAUAGAAAAUUCUAAAACUGUCAGUAGCAUUACAUGUGAAAGAGAAUUUAGUCUUCUUUGUUCUAAUAUGGACUUAAGUUUGGAACCUUCUAUCUCAGGAGGCAGUUACAACCAGUGUUUUAAAGGGCGGGGCAUGAGGCGAGACGUAAGCCCCGAGACAUAGGGAGUAAGUCCCAUGGAUCUACGGGGCAUAGUCUCAUUUAUUCAAUUUUAUAAUUUUAUUACUAAGAAAAUAAGCAAAAGUAAAAUUAAACUUUCAAUUAUUUUACAAGUAAUUUUUAUAAAUAACCUAUAAUAUAUAGAAAAAUUAUUAUGAUUUUUAUUUGAGAUAGAUAUUAAUAAGCAAUAAUGAAGAAAAAAAGUAUAAUAAUUACUAUUUUAGAAAUAUCACUACACCAAUAAUAAAAAAAAUAUGAUUUAAAGCAAAAAAAAAAAAGAAUAAUUAAAAACACUCAGGGCAAACGUUUUUAUGCCCAAAACUUUGGGUUUUAUGCUUAGUGCUUACUCCCCAAAUUCUAGGACUUAUCAAUUUGCGCCCAAGCAUUUUUGGUACGUCCCGCCCUGAGACUCGCCCAACAACCGUUUUUGAAAACACUGAUUACAACUCUUUAGAUAGCUAUAGAAGUUUAACUACUGAUGGUAACAAUACUGAUAUUUAGUUUCUUUCUAUUUUUUCUCUGCCAUUUCAGAUUGUGAUGAUAUCAGUAUACUUCCAUUUUUUCCUUAAAAAAAUAUUAAUUAUAUCUUGAUUGAUGAAACUUAUGAUUAAGGGAGCAAGAAUCAUUUUGUUUGAUGGAUCUCACGAAAUCAUGAAUUGAAAAACCUACAUGAGGACCCAUUUGGUAGAAGGUGAUGAAGAGUUGUUGGACUCAACCUCUUUUGUUUCUCUUGUUGAUGCUGGUGAAAAGGAUUCAACUACUAAAUCGACUUUCACAAAUUUCAAUGAAUCACUUUAUUGAAAGUUUAAAUAUAGUAGAGAUACAAUUAGAAGCCCAGACUUGGUAACGGGAAGAUUUAUGUUGAGUGAGACUCAUAAUAUUAUUGUUCUUGAUCUCUUUGAUCAGCUAGAGAAUCAGAAGGCUCGAACUGAUAAUGCAGAAGAGCAUCUGAAGAUUAGGAGAAAAGUAUUCUUUGAUUCGGUAGUUGAAUGUCUGGAAUUCAGUUGAUUGUAAACAGAGUUUUGGCAGAGGUCUUGAAGCUUGGGCAAAGUGGACAACCACUUCUUCCUUUUGAUCAAUGUUGUCCAUUUUGCCCAAGCUUCAAAACCUCGGCCAAAACUCUGUUUACAUCUAAAUUCUAGACAUUCAACCACCUAAUCAAACAACACUUUUUUCCUAAUCUUCACAUGCUCUUUUGUAUUUUUUUAAAUUCAAGCCUUCUGAUUCUCUUAGUGGUAAAAGAGAUCACAAGCAAUAAUACUCUGAGCCUCACUCAACCCAAAUCCUGCCAUUACCAAGUCUAAGCUUCUAAUAUAUCUCUAAUAUAUCUAAAAUUACAAUAAGGUGAUUAAUUAAAAUUUGUGCGAGUCAAUUUAGUAGUUAAAUCAUUUUCACUAGGAUUAGCAAGAGAAACAUAAGAGGUUGAAUCUCACAACUCUGCAUCAGCUUCACCAAAUAGGUCCUCAUGUAGGUUUUCCAAUUUAUAAUUUCGUGAGUAUCACCAAAAAAACAGAUGAUACUUGCUCCCUGAAUAUUCAGUUUCCAUUAGUUAAGAUUUAAUUGAUAUAUUUUCAGGGGGAAGUGGAAGUAUAUUGGUAAUGACAACAUUCAGUUCUUCAUUCAAUGUAAUGACUUGACAACAUCUUUAAAUUCCAUGAGCAAUUACUACACCGAUCUUAUGAGAAAGUGUAUCACCUAAUUUUUAUGAAUCUCUUAUAAUUUUGAGUUAAACAAACCUUAUGAAAUGCCUUUUCUUUAACAUUUCUAUUAAGCAAAUUCAACUACCUUCUUCCUAUAAUUAAUUUAUUGAAGCAACGAUAUACAACCAAAUUAGAGAACAAUGACUAAAAAGGCAUAAAAACAAGUAGUCAAUAUAGGCGUAGAAAGAAAUUUGACGAAAGAGUGGACACUUAAACGAUCGAAUUCAACAUAUAUCAUCAUAAUCUUAAAUAGGAGAAAAAAAUAGAAUGAAGUUAAGUAUUAGUAUUAUUACCAUCAGUAGUUAUACUUUUGUAGCUAUCCAAAGAGUUGCAUUUGUCUCCUGAAAUAGAAGGUUCCAAACUUGAGAUCAGACUAGAACAAUGGAGUCUGUAUUCUUUUUCACACGUAAUGUUGCUGACAGUUUUAGGAUUUUCUACUCUAUUUUGGAUCCUGAAAUUGAUGCAGAUAAAAUUAGCCUAGCUAGUACAUUAUACUUUUUUUUUCCUUUUCUAAGAAAAUGCAGUAUAGUAAUAAUACAGAAAUAGGAAUUCAACAACUGCAAUAAUACCUCAAUCCUGAAUUAGUUGGAUUUUGCAUAUAAAAUCUCAACAUCAAUUUAAUUCCUUCUCCACCAUUUUUCCCAAUACUUAAUAAUUUGUAGUACACCUUCAAACAAAAAGCAGAGUCAGUUGAGAAACCAAACAAUGAAUAAGCCAGAUGGCUAAAAAAAUGAACCUUUAAAAACUGAUCUCAACAGCAACAACAAUAGCAACAGCAUCAAGGUGGGGAAUGUUAAUCCCCCAUAACCAAAGGGGGAAGAAGCUACCGUUGGGGAGCACAAGAGAGAACAUCUCCGCAGAGGCGAUGAGAACAAGGAGAAGAAGAGGCGGAGAGCACAAAUCAUAAAACCCUAUCAUUUAGGGUUCUUUUAUAUUCACCUGGUCUGACCACUUUUGGGCCGACCAGCUCUUUUUUUGGUAUAUUUAUGUGUGGAUCCAUUUAGGAGCCCAUAUUUUAUUAAAUAAAAUGGACCAUGAGUUCAGAUUUAAACUUUAAAAAAGGGAUAUUGGUAGUUUUCAAUGUCAAUUGUGGUUUUCGAUCCAUUCCACAACUAUACUUGAUUUGUUUGGUUUUAUCUAAAAAAAAUGUCAAUUCGAGAUCAAACCAACCCGACAUUCAACAAAUUUGGUUAUCAGGGAUGAAUAAUUUCAUCAUCUAUAAAUCAUAUUUCGUCACUAAAACUCUUGUGUGACGAAAAAAAUUUCAUCAAUCAGUUGUCACUAAACGUGUGUCACUAAAAGUUUACAAAGACGAUUUAGUGCUUCGUCACUAAAAUAUUAUAUUAACUACAAAAAGAAAAAUUGUCCCCAUAUGCAUAAACAUUCUGACGAAUUUAUUUGUCAUAAAAAGUGUAACUUUUUUGUAGUUAAUAGUAUGUUUUGUCACUAAAAAUAUUAUUAUUAGUGACAAAAUUAAAUCAUCACUAAUUUAUCAUGUUCAAUCAGUGACGACAUCAAAUGUCUCUAAAGCUAUAUGUAUUUCGUAGUUGAAAAAAUACAAUAUCGUCACUAAUGACUAUUUUAAUAUAUACAAAAAAAAUAUUUUGUCCUUAAUGUAUAAAUUAGGGACAAAUUUAUUAUUAUAAAAGAGGUUAAUAAUUUUGUGAUUAAAUAUAUCAUUUUUUCACUAAAAGUGUUGCUUUUAUCGACGACAUAUAUUGUCACUAAAUAUUAUCAUAAGUAAUUACAAUUACAAUUGUCACAAAAUAAAAAAAUAAUUCAUAUUCAAUAAAAGGGGGUACUAGGACAAUACAUUUUGUGUCACUGAAUGUAAUGAACUUGUGAUGAAUUAAUUUAAUUCAUGACAAAAAUAUUUUUCAUAAAAUUCACCCAUGAUCACACAAUAAAAAUAACUAAAAUUAUACUAAAUUAAUAAUAUCUCAUUACAAACUCCUUAAAUAAAAGUAAAAUAUGUCCAAUGACAAGAAAAUCUAACUAAAAUAUAUCAAAUAUUACUCCUAAACAAAGACAUAUAAGUAAAAAUUCUUUCCAAAAUAUCAAUAAUGUGGUAAUACAUAGCUGGUAAUCAAUCUUGAUUCAUUUCUCACCCUUUAUACCUGUACAAAGAGAGAGAAAAUAAAACAAAGAUUUAGAUUGAGAUGAUUAUACUAGAGUCAAAAGUAAAAUGUGUAACACAAUUUGUCUUUCAUAUGUUCUAAUACCCACUUUAAUAAGGCUUAUUUGAUGGAUUGUCCCUGAUAUUACAAUUCCAUAUAUAUAUAUAUAUAUAUAUUAGUAGUUUCCAAUUUACAAUAUAAAUUUUAUCAUUACAAGUUUAACAUAAGUGAAAGUUUAUGGAGUAUAUCAUCACAAACUAUACAUGGCAACAUAAACUCUAUCAUUCAUGAAGACUAUUAACUAUUAAAAUAUAAUGUAAUCUAUGUAGAAAUUCUCACAUUCGAAUCAAACAUGCGUGAAUUAAAGGAGAAAUUACAUAUAACUAGAAUUUAUAGCCUCAUCCAUUUUGUUGCAAAAAAAAGAAGUGAGAGUUCUAGAAAACAAAACUCAAGCAAUUUCUUAGAACAAAAUAGAAAAAGACCACCAAUUUAUAAAACAAAUUAAUGUGAUUAAGAAAUGACACAAAUGAAGCAAUCAAAAGGCUUUUUUAUCAUGAAGUUGACAGAUAAAUACUUGUAAGUCCAGAUCUUUUUUAUCUAGCUCAUUUAACUAAAAAUUGAAAUGUUAUGUCAGUGAAUUAGGUGCAUCUUGAUAUAUCGUGAGUUUACGGUAUUUCUAAUACAUUUCAUUUACCAGUUGUGUGUGUCUAGGACCUUUUUAUAUUGGUUUUUAUGUGUUUUUAUCAUGUUUUGCAGGAAAGAUGUACAGGCGCGGAAGUAUAGAGACAGCCGAAAGAAAUGCAGAAACAAGGGCAUUCACGGAGGUGAUCUACGGACCGUAGGUCCAUUCACGGUCCGUAUGUGAUGACCGUAGAUCAGCAGGCAUGGGUAUUGAGGACAAAUCAGGGAAAUCUGAUCAAGUGUGGAACCACGGUGUCCAUUGACGGUCCGUAGUUGUAUCUAUGGACCGUACUAUUGAUCCGUAGAGUGAUACUGCGAGGGUUCCAGUACCUGAUUUUUGAAGAUUCUAAGUGUGGAGCUACGGAGGGGAUUGACGGACCGUAGAUCGAUCUACGGUCCGUCAAUCCCCUCCGUAGCUCCACACUUAGAAUCUUCAAAAAAUCAGGUACUGGAACCCUCGCAGUAUCAAUCUACGGAUCAACAGUACGGUCCGUAGAUCAAUCUACGNNNNNNNNNNNNNNNNNNNNNNNNNNNNNNNNNNNNNNNNNNNNNNNNNNNNNNNNNNNNNNNNNNNNNNNNNNNNNNNNNNNNNNNNNNNNNNNNNNNNNNNNNNNNNNNNNNUGAAAGUUUAUGGAGUAUAUCAUCACAAACUACUCUACAUGGCAACAUAAACUCUAUCAUUCAUGAAAACUAUUAACUAUUAAAAUAUAAUGUAAUCUAUGUAGAAAUUCUCACAUUCGAAUCAAACAUGCGUGAAUUAAAGGAGAAAGUACAUAAAUGCCAUCAAUUUAUAAAACAAAUUAAUGUGAUUAAGAAAUGACACAAAUGAAGCAAUCAAAAGGCUCUUUUUUCAUGAAGUUGACAGAUAAAUACUAGUAAGUCUAAAUCUUUUUUUAUCUAGCUCAUUUAACUAAAAAUUGAAAUGUUAUGUCAGUUAAUUAGGUGCAUGUUAUCAACAAUGUAAUUCUCAUUCGCUAAAUACAAAAGCUCUAAAAUAAUUCAUGAAUGUGGCAAGUGAAUACAAUAGCCAAGAACUGAUAUUGCUAAGGCAAUGAAUUAAAGUCUCUUAAUUGAAACAAAUAUUUCUAACGUGCCUAAAACUCACCUAGUAUUAAAAGUACUUACUCUUAUUUUGGUGAAUUUUAGAGAACUAAUUUUUCAUUCCAUUAUUAAAUUAACUGAUACUAUUUUUAAAUAAAUUAAUCCUCAUAUCAAAGGAUUCAACUAAUUCAAAAUGGAGUAAAUUCAAGUUUAACAACAUAACCCAUUUGUUUGUUUGUUAGGUAAUCACAUUUAUUUAAAAAUAUGUAAAUUAAAAUAGGCAAUUGACAUGAACAUUAAGCUACAAUAAUGUCAUAAAAAUAGUGGCUUAGGCAUGACAAAAUUAAACAACUAUAACAACAACAACAAAAAUAAAAAAUUCUUACAUUAUAUAGGACUUCAUUCAUUAAAUAGAGAUAUAACACUUUAACCCAAUCUUCAUUUCAAUCGAAUUAUAAAUAAAACAAAAUUAUAGAAAAAUUUAUCACAUAAUUACAUCAAUUUCCAUAUAUAAAUUAAGAGAUUAGGUGAAGUUGAGUACCACAAAUGAAGAAAUAAAAAUCGCAAAGUCUUGAUCGAAACUCGAUUAAAACACUCAUAAUAUUUUUUUUUGGUGCGAGUGUAUUGUAUUUUUGUUUCCGUGUGUUGUUAUUGCUUUGCGUGUAUAUUGUUUUUUAUUUUUUUGGUUUGUGCUGAUCGUCCUUUUUUUGUUUGUUUGUGUAUUUUUGUGUGAUGGUAGUAUAGGAGUUUUUUUUCCUUUCGUUCCUUUUUGUCGUUUGCUGGGUUUGGGGUAGUGUAGGUGUGUGUUGCUGAUUCUUUUAGUUUUGGUUUAUUGUUGUGUUAAUACAGGUAAUGAUUGUGUGUGUGGGUAGAUGGUGGGUAAACUAUUAGGGUAGUGGGAGGAAAAUAGGAUGGUGUAGGUGUAGUAGUGGGGUAAGAGGUAGUUUAGGUGAGUUUUUAUUUAUUUAUUAAAUUUAUAUAAAAAAUUAUAAAAAUAUUAGCUAAUUAUUUUGAACUAAUGAAAAUAUAAGAAAAAAAAUUUAGUUAAUCUAAAAAUGUAAUUAAAGAAAAUAUUAAAAGAAAACAUAUAAAAAAAUUUAUAAUUUUUUAUAUCUUUUUAAAACAAUUGAAAAAAUAAAACUUACCUAACAAUGUGAUUCAAUUUUUUGUGCUUUUCAAAUAAUUUAAAAUAAACUUAAUAAAAUAAAAUUAAAAUUAAAAUAUUUGAUUGAAGUUGAAAUAAGACAAGUAAUUAUCGAUUAAUUAUUUGAGGUUCUUAAUUUAAACAAGACAAAAUAUUUCUUAAUUUAUACAAAGACAAAAUAUUUCUUAAGACAUAAAUUAAUUAAUAAUUAUACAUAAAUAUGAAGUUAACUAAUUUAGAGUUAUAUAUAUAUAGAGAGAGAGAGAGACACACACACAGUUAUAUAAUUAUUUCUAAAAACUUAAAAAACUAUUUAGUGAAUAGAUUUAAAAUAUUUUUGAAAUUUUCAAAAUAAUGAUUUCAAAUUGAAGAAGCUCGAUAAUUAAUACGAAUUGCAUAUGAUCAAAAUUGGGUGUCAACACUCGAGAUGAUUGAAAGGUGUCCUAUAUUAUAAUUGUAUAUAAUCAAUGUUUAUGCACACUUAUAAAGUGCAGGUACAUUAUUUAAAAAUUAUCUACAAUUGAUUUGUGUAUGAGUUGUUUAAUUAUGUAUAACAAUAUUAAAGUGUAUAUAAGCACCUUUUAUACACUAUUAUACACGUAUAUACAAGUCUAUACACUAUUUUAAAUUAAAAUAUUAUUCAGUAUAAUUAUAAAGUUACAUAAAAUUAAACUUUCGACUUUAUUAAAAGAAAUACUAAUACUCGAUUCACUUCGAUCGGUAAAUCAAAUUUUAAAAAAAUAUUGAUACCCACAACGAUAGUACUUUAUCAUAAUAUAUUCAAAAUCUUAGUUGGUUAAUUUCUUUCAUUUGUGCUUUCAUUUUUUUUAGUUUAUUUCAAUUUCGACACGAAUGAAAAAGGUAAUAGAAUCCAUGAAAUAUUUUGCAUCUUUGCAGUCUAAGUUUGUAAGUCGAUAAUAUCUCUAUAGAGUUGCUCUACGUAAAAGGAUCCACUACUAAUUAUGUAUGUAUUUUUAGAAAGAAGCAAAUAGAUUGACUUAGUUUGUACAGUUACCAACAAAAAAUAAAGGCAAAAGUACUCAUUACCCCCCCUGAACUUGAAGCUUUUUAUACGGUGUACACCUAAACUAAAUUCCGUUUUAAUUACCCCCCGAACUUUUUUAUUCCUUCGUCGCGUACACCUUUUUCGUCCACCUGGCGUAGUAAUUGACAACACACUCUACUAGGCGCGUGAGGAAGUGAUUUUUUGCCACAUCACAAAGCUACAACGGUAAAAAAACGUAAAAUCUCCAUUUUUCUUUAAUAUUUGGCAUAUUUUAAACGAAAAAUUGGGCAAAAUGUAAAUGAAAAUUAAAGGAAAGAAAGAUUAACACUUACUUGGUAAGAAUUUCAGACAAAUUUGAAAUUUAAUCGACCAACUUCACGUCUAGAAAAACCCAAAUCCAGAAGGAGUUCCGCGAAAUCAGCCCUUAUUCAAAAAUAACUUUUAAACAAUGAAUUUUAAAUUUAAGAAAUUUAAUUUUUUGCAAUAUUAACUUAUCCAGGUGGCUAUUAUUUAUCCAGGUGGAAAUCCACAUCACCACUUUUGCCAGCUGUUGCGCACGUGUAGUCACAAUAGGAGCAGGUGGACGAAAAAGGUGUACGCGACGGAGGAAUAAACAAGUUCAGGGGGGGUAAAUAAAACGGAAUUUAGUUUAGGUGUACACCUUAUAAAAAGUUUCAAGUUCAGGGGGGUAAUGAGUACUUUUGCCAAAAAUAAAACAUUCCCUUCUUUUGUGGUAACAAUUCAUAAUCAACGCGAUUUUUUUUUCCUUUUUUCAUAUAUAAUAAAUAAAAGAUUUGAUCUUAUUAUUUAAUUUCUCUACGUAAAAUGAAAUGAACAGAAUAAUAAAAUUGAUAUAUUUCAAAAUAAAAAUAAUCUUAAAAAUGGUGGAAAAUCUACCAUUUUAUAAAUUUCAGCUUCUAAGAAAUUAAAUAAAUUCCCGUUAAUAAAGUCGUUGGAGUACAAGAUUUGGAAUCAAAAUAUGCGAGUAAUUUUUUUUAAUUUUAUUCUAAUUGCAGGAAAUUCAUUUCUAUUAAAUAUAAAUAAAUUUCUCUCUACAACUAACGAGUAAUAACAUUUUUCUUUUUAUAAUAAAUUUUAGUAUUCUCAAGUCAUUAGUAGCAAUAAUAUAUUUCAUUUCAUCCUCCAUUGAAUAAAAAUUAGGACUUAUAUCUUCUUUUACCGUGAAUUUUAUUUUGAAUCAUUGAGGUAAGGUUCUUUUCUUAAGAGUAAUUUGAAGAAAAAGUAGUGGGAAAAAGAAACUACUGAAAAAUGGGUUAAAGACUUAAUUUCACGUAGACAUGAGUUGUAUUUGUAUAAAAAUAAUCAAGAGACCAUACAUGAUAAUUUUUUGAAUACUUAAAGGACUAAAACUAGCAAAUGCAUAGUCAAGGGACUAAAAAUGAUAAGUAUAUAAUUAAGGGACCAAACUUGAUAACAUUUUGAAUAGUUAAAGGACUAAAUAUGAUAAAUGUAUAGUUAUAGGACUAUUUUAUGCCUACUUCAAUAGUUGAGGGAUCAUUUAUGAAAUUCUCUAAUUAUGAACAAUCGUACCCAAAGAAAAUUUUGUAUAUAGCUAUGAACUUUUUUGUAGUAAUUAGUUGAAUUAUUCAACUACAAAUUCUAAGUCGUCGCUAUUUCAUACCUUACAUAUUUUGUGACAAUUUUUGUUGUCACUAAAUUGUAGGUUGAUUAGAGACAAUAAAAAUGAUUGUCACCAAUUGUUUAUAUUAUUAGUGACGAAAAUAAAUGUCACAGCUAAAUCUAAAAUUUUAUAGCUAAAACUUAGAAUAUUUAACUACAAGCUCUAAUUUGUCACUAUUGUAUCAACAUAUUUUUGAGACGAAAUUAAUUUGUGUCUAAAAAUUAAUUAAUUUUAAGACAAAAAUAAUUUGUCACAAAUUAAAAAAAUCAUUAGUGAUGAAAUAAUGUGUCACUGGUGACUUUAAAUUUGUGACUGACAAUACUCAAUAAAUGGCGCCAAUACAUUUUUUGGUGGGAAACUUUAGUGGGCAAAACUUUGCUACGAACUAUUAUGUUUCGUCACUAAAAGUAUCUUCCUUGUAUAUUUAAGCACGAAAAGUAAUUUUUGUCACUAAAAGUGAACAAUUAAUGAUGAUUUUUAUGUCGUAGCUAUAUAUCAUAUUUGUUGUAGUGAUUAUAUAUAUAAUUUUUUAAAUUAUAAUUUUUUAUACAUAAAUGUAUUUACUUUGUAUUAUUUUUAAAAAUAUUUCUUAUACUUUUUCAUAGUUUUUAUCUUUUAUCAUAUUAUUUCUAGUUUUUGAGACUUGAAUUUUGAAUGGUCCAAUAAAUAUUAUAUAGUCCAUAUAUAAUAAUGUCUUUAUCUUAUCUUUUGUGUGUGUGCGCGUGUGCGUGUGUGUGAAUUUUAGUUGAAAAUUUUAAAUACUUUUUGAGGGUUUCUUCUUACAUGAAAAGAAUAUAAAAUAAAAUAAUUAUAUUAUACCUUCCUAUAAAUGUGUAGAUGUAUAAUUUGGUUCCAUAGGAAAAAAACAUUUUUUUUUUACAUGUAAUCAUCUUUUUUAGAAAUGAAGGAACAUUCUUGUAAUUUAUAACGAUUUCAAAAUAAAUAACAUAAAUAUACAAUUUUCAAAGUAAACAAAAAGCAAUAGAAGAAGAAGAAAUAAAUAAAUAUACUUUGAAGAAUAGAUUAGAUAUAUAGAGUUUGUUUAUUAUAAUUAAUAUACUUUUAUUGUCAGUAAGUAAUGGUUACAAUUAAAUAGCGAGUAAUGUUUUAACCGUGGAAAUUUCUACGUACGUAUUUAUCCAUACAAUAUAUAUUUGACUACAUAUACAUACAUCAUCUUCUUAUUUUAAAUUUUUGUGAUAAGUCUAUCACUAAUUUAUAAUUUCCUUAGUAUAAAACAAACUAAUAUUAGUUAAUACUUUAUAUCAUUUAUUUGCGUAAUUAAAUUUGACUUUAUUCAUUUCGAUCUUUUUCACCCUUCUCUAACCAAAUAUGAAUCGUAAUUAUGUUUAAUGAAUUUAAUUUUGUAGAAAUAUAAUAACCAAUUAUUAUGGAGUCAUAUGAAAUUAAUACAACUUGAUCUUAUGAUGAAAAAGUAAGUUACGUCAUUUCUUUAUAAUAUCUAUAACAAUGAUCAUGUCUUAAUUAUUUUAAAUAAUAUAAAUAUUUCUUUUUUGGGUAUAUAAUUUUUUAAAGUUUUCACGCAUGCAUUUUUCUCGAUAGUUUUUAUAACUUACAUAGCAAACACCAAUAAAGAAUAUAUUUUAAUCAUUAAGAUUUAUUUCUUUUAAGCCAUAAAUUUUAAAUUUUAAAAUUUUAUUAGUAAUUAGCAGAUUUUUCAACAUAAUUAAGUUACUAAUUUGAACCAAGAGAAAAUAAUUAUAAAUUUAAAAUUUGAUUUAUACUUGAGAGCAGAAUUUCAACCAUAAUUAAGAUAAAUUCGUGAGGAAGUGAUAUCUCUUUAGGAUAUACUCUAGCAUUUUAAAAUACUAAUUUGAACUAAAAGAAAUUAUAAACUUACACCAAUCAGAAGUUGGUAUAAAAAUUAAACUUAAGAGACAUCAUAAAGACACACAAGAAAGAAAGAAAGAAAGGAAAAAGAAAGAAAUAAUACAAUACACAUAUCAUUACGACUUUAAUCGCUAAAAAUAGAAGGAAAAACAAAAUUAAUACAUAAUUGUGUAAGAUCUUGUUGAUAUUCAUUUCACAAGACUGUCAAUAUUCAUGAACUUUCCUCUUAAACAAAAGUAGAAAGACAUCACUCUUGUUGAUAUCCACUUCAAGUCUAUCACUAUGCAAAAUCUUUUUUCUUAUCAAAAGUAGUUUGACUCUAUGCCUUCUUCAUUUUGUUAUCCGUCAUUUUUUUCUGUUAAAAAUGUUGUGUAGCGUUAGUUGUUCACUAAAACUCUCUUCGCAUCACCAUUUAUCUUUAGUAGUAGUACAGUACAUCUUACUGGAAAAAAAAGGUGCCAAAUGCUAGGUUGAAACAUUAGUCUAAUUGUCAAGAUUUUAUAAGUUAUAGCUAAUAUUAGUUCAUAUCUGAUUUUAAUUAAAAAGUGCAACUUGGAAUGGCAUAGAGAGCUCUUACGUAUCAAGCUGCCCAAAAUUACGUACUUCUAUGAAAUCAAAGGUGUUUAGAACUAGAAUUGGUGGGGUGAGCCAGGUCGAGGCAGUAGUGCAACACCAAGGCGACUCAUGAAGGCCCCAAUAGCAAGCUACCAUGCUGAACCUUCCCCCUUAAAAAAUAGAGUUAAUAUCGUGUGAGUCGAUGACUCACAUAUCAGAUAUUAAACUGAUAAGAACAGAUACUACACUUGAUCUUAGCCAAAAGGCCGAGAAAGGUAUGAUUUUCCAUGUGUAAUCGGGGCUAUUUUAUUGGUUACUUGGUUACAUAAAAUUUCUCUUUCUAGGCAGUGUGGGACUAGAAGAGCUUCUAUAUAUUAAACUAGAAAUCAUCUUCUCUGGUUUUAUAUAUUAAACUUAUUCAAUUCCUUUAAUCGUCUAUAAUAAAAUUGAUCAAAGAGUAGUGAAUGAAACAAUUUACGUUUUUCCGACCCCACCCCACCCCAGGAGGAUCAAUAUUCAAUAGUAAUGUCACUUACCCUCCAACAUGACUCGAACCGUCAACCUAUAGGUUGAUAGUGAAGAAGCUCAACUACUUGAGCAAGCCUCAUAUAUCCUGCAACAAGUUGUCAAGAAAUGUAAAUUACAAUUUGUAGUUUACAUAACAUUUUCCACCAUAACGUAUCGAUCUUGCUCCAAAAAUAUUAAAGGUUAAUAAUAAUUUCACAAAAAUCCUAAGUACUAAUAUCUUUGUCCUGGAUCUCGAAGAAACUCCUUCAACAAACAAUUGAAAGAAAUGUUAACAACCUAGAAUUGGUGGGGUGCGCUAAGCCAAGGCAGUAGUGCAACACUUAGAUGACGCUUAAAGGUCGUGAUAGCAAGCUACCGUGAUGGACCUUCCCCUCAUAUUCCUCUGUUGUGAACAAUAUUGAAAACUAAUAAGAAACACAAAUUAUUUUUCACGAAUCUUUAAAGAUUUGUCAAUUCAUAACACAAAUUGAAUCUUUUGAUACUCUAGAGAUUUGAGAAUGACCUUUUAUAAUUCCCAAAAAAUUGAUAAGUGAGAAUGUAAAGUAAGCUUUUACAACUAAAUUUAGUGGGGGUGCGUCAAGUCAAGACAGUAGUGCAACGCCAGAGGACGCUUGAAGGUCCUGAAUCACAAUAGCAAGCAACCGUAUGGACAUCCCCUCAAAAAUAGAGUUAGUAUAAUGUAAUAUACUAAUAUGAACAGAUACUACACUUGAUCUAACAUUUGAGGUGGUACUUUGCGACUAUAUAGGUAAAAUGGUAUUUUUAAAACAUCAAGCGCCAGUGGUCUAGUUGUAGAAUAGUACCCUGCCACUGUAC
rnacentral:lncRNA from 1 species